UGCUUUUGUACGGAACGAAAAAGCUUCGGUUAAUACCCGGAGUCCAUGACGGUACCGUAAGAAUAAGCACCGGCUAACUACGUGCCAGCAGCCGCGGUAAUACGUAGGGUGCAAGCGUUAAUCGGAAUUACUGGGCGUAAAGCGUGCGCAGGCGGUUAUAUAAGACAGAUGUGAAAUCCCCGGGCUCAACCUGGGAACUGCAUUUGUGACUGUAUAGCUGGAGUGCGGCAGAGGGGGAUGGAAUUCCGCGUGUAACAGUGAAAUGCGUAGAUAUGCGGAGGAACACCGAUGGCGAAGGCAAUCCCCUGGGCCUGCACUGACGCUCAUGCACGAAAGCGCGGGGAGCAAACAGGAUUAGAUACCCUGAUAGUCCAAGCACUAAACGAUGUCAACUGGUUGAAGGGUCUAUCACUGACUC
rnacentral:rRNA from 1 species